CGGGGCGUGGCGCAGGCCGGUAGCGCGCUUGGUUUGGGACCAAGAGGUCGGGGGUUCAAGUCCCCCCGCCCCGACCA
rnacentral:tRNA from 1 species